rnacentral:rRNA from 1 species
AUUGAACGCUGGCGGCAGGCCUAACACACGCAAGUCGAGCGGAUGAAGGGAGCUUGCUCCUGGAUUCAGCGGCGGACGGGUGAGUAAUGCCUAGGAAUCUGCCUGGUAGUGGGGGAUAACGUCCGGAAACGGGCGCUAAUACCGCAUACGUCCUGAGGGAGAAAGUGGGGGAUCUUCGGACCUCACGCUAUCAGAUGAGCCUAGGUCGGAUUAGCUAGUUGGUGGGGUAAAGGCCUACCAAGGCGACGAUCCGUAACUGGUCUGAGAGGAUGAUCAGUCACACUGGAACUGAGACACGGUCCAGACUCCUACGGGAGGCAGCAGUGGGGAAUAUUGGACAAUGGGCGAAAGCCUGAUCCAGACAUGCCGCGUGUGUGAAGAAGGUCUUCGGAUUGUAAAGCACUUUAAGUUGGGAGGAAGGGCAGUAAGUUAAUACCUUGCUGUUUUGACGUUACCAACAGAAUAAGCACCGGCUAACUUCGUG